AAUAACAAAAGAGCCAUUGUCUCAAAGCUCUGGAGCAAUUUUUAAAGUUGGAGUUUCUAGAUAAAUAAUAAGAUCUGGAAGCCUGAAUAUCUUUGUAAUUCAUGAGGAUGUAGGACUAACUGCUUAUUUGUAUAAAUAUUUUUCCUUAUUCUCUAUAAUCUUUAUUGGGUUUUAAUUACCUUCUGAUAACCUGGGCUCACAAGGUUGCUUUAAGGUAUAAAUUUGGCUUUUAAGAAUCAACUUUUUGGGAAAUGGAGUUAUUUCUUGAGCAUCAAAUUUUAUGUCCAUUCUUUUUCUUUUUCUUUUUCUUUAUUUAUUUAUUUUGAGAGAGAGUGAGAAAGAGCACAUGCAUGGGAGGGACAGAGAAAAAGGGAGAGAGAGAAUCCCAAGCAGGCUCCACGCUGUUAGCACAAACCUGAUGUGGGGCUUGAACUCAAGAACUGUGAGAUCAUCACCUGAGCCAAAAUCAAGAGUUGGAUGCUUAACCAACUGGGCCAUCCAGGCACCCCUACAUUAUUUUUCUAUUCAUUAUUUUCUAUUCACUGAAUAUCUUUAAGUGACUGAACCUGAAGGAUGAAAACCUGCCCAUUUUGCCUUUUCCCUUAAAGUAAAUAAAUACUUUACAGAAAAACACAUAGAAAGUUUGUUAAAUACAGAAAAGGGGCAAAAUUACUCCAAAUCCCAAAUCAUAACACAAUUAUUACUGCCUUUUUAGUAUAUUUCCUUCUGAUAUCUUUUCAAAUGUUUUCAGAUUUUCUGUAGUAAAAAUCUAGCUAGCUUUUUUCCAAGUUGUCUAGAUGACUUUUUACCAUCUAGGUAACAAUGAUAAGUUAUUUUGAAUACUUUUUAAUAUAUCCCAUCAGUUAAAUUAUUACCUUGCUGUAUAUCUAGGAUACUUCUGGUUUUGCCACAAAUAUCUUGAAGUUAAUGGCUUUUUCAUAUUUUUGUUUAUUAAGAAAUUCCAAAUGCAAUUAUAGACCAAAGGGUGUGAACUCUGAUACACACUAGUUUGUUCUGGCAAAUCUUAGCCUAUUCAUAUAUUUACACAAAAGGACCAAGGUCACUGUCCCGUCACUAUCAUUGAGUACUAUCAUUGCCUUCAAUUUUUGCUGCAAUUUUAUUGUCAAGUUUAAGACAUUUUCAUUUUAAAAAUAUUAGUAAUGAAUUUUAUUCUCAUAUUAAUGGUUAUAAUUUGCCUGUUUUUAUUUUUAUCUUUUCUUCCAAACUCCUCAACUUCUAGCAUUUUCCACGUGCUGAUUCUUAAUCUAAUUAUUGUGGGAGCUGGAGUAAUCAUGGCCUGUUUCUACCCAAACAUAGGAGGAAUCAUAAGGUAUUCAGGAGCAGCAUGCGGCCUGGCCUUUGUAUUCAUAUACCCAUCUCUCACCUAUAUAAUUUCCCUCCACCAAGAAGACCGUCUGACAUGGCCGAAAUUAAUCUUUCACGUUUUCAUCAUCAUUUUGGGCCUGGCUAAUUUGAUUGUUCAGUUUUUUAUGUGAAAUACUCAAUGUUUUCUCAAGAUCUUUUGUGGUAUUUUCAACUUUGACAACAAUUCCACAUAAAUUCACUUGUAAAUGAUGUUAUUGCUGUAAUUCUAAAUGUUUUCCUAAGAUAAUUUGGGGGAAAAAAAAAGGAAAUGGAGGUCCAUUAAUAAGUAAUUUUGAUUAGAGUGGAAAAGGGGGCAAUGAUCUUUAUCUCUUUUCAUAUUCACCACCUCCUCAUUCUCACUGUCUUUUCUGAGUAGAAGCGUAAGCCCUUAGGAAAAAUCACGCUGGUUUUUGCUUUUACAGUUUUAAGGUGCAUAAGUUUAUUUUGACUACAGUAAAGAUUCUCAGGGUGUCACAGCAACUAUUGCCAGAUGCUAUUUCUGUUUUAUGUUUGAAUGUAUUCACUUUCAUUUUAUUACUUGCUAGAUCAUUUCUGCAGUUUGUCCAAACAUUUACUGUUUGGGACAGUAAACCAAAUACCUCAUUUUUAAAAGAAAUUUCCAUGGCAUCAGUGUUAAUAGAGUGAACUCUUAACUGCAUCCUUAAUCUCUGUUUAAAAGAGAGAAAGAAUGUCAGUAUAGGCUUUGUGGUCAUGAAAUUUACACAAAAUAAAAGAACUGGGAGAGUU